UGGUAAUGAUGGCAGAGAGGUCACACCCGUUCCCAUACCGAACACGGAAGUUAAGCUCUCUAGCGCCGAUGGUAGUUGGGACCUUUUCCCUGUGAGAGUAGGACGUUGCCAGGCA
rnacentral:rRNA from 1 species